GCUCUAUAUGCAAAUGGAUACUGCAACUGAAAAAUCAAAGUGACUAAACAGCUACAAUUUGAUCAAGUUAGAGGCAACUCAGCCCCCAUGAUAUAAAUUUCUUUGUGGCAAACACAGUAUGUACAAUGCAGAUCUUUAUAGUUUCAAUGAAUUUUAGGUUCUGCAUAUGUAUGACCAAUCACUACUUUUGACACUUAUUCAAUGUGAAGCUAUAGCUAGUGUCAUUUGAUGGAAAUUGAAUGCCAAGGGAAGGAUGCAGACAGUUCUCUAAUUCUCUAAUUUGCUUGAAAAUCAUUUCAAAUAUAUUUGU
rnacentral:lncRNA from 1 species